rnacentral:tRNA from 1 species
GUGGUGUAGCGGCAACACAUUCGCUUCAUAUUCGAGAGAUCCAGGUUCGAAUCCCGGC